rnacentral:rRNA from 1 species
CCUACGGGAGGCAGCAGUGAGGAAUAUUGGUCAAUGGGCGCGAGCCUGAACCAGCCAAGUAGCGUGAAGGAUGACUGCCCUACGGGUUGUAAACUUCUUUUAUAAAGGAAUAAAGUGAUGCACGUGUGCCUUUUUGUAUGUACUUUAUGAAUAAGGAUCGGCUAACUCCGUGCUAGCAGCCGCGGUAAUACGGAGGAUCCGAGCGUUAUCCGGCUUUAUUGGGUUUAAAGGGAGCGUAGAUGGGUUGUUAAGUUCGUGGUGAAAGUUUGCGGCUCAACCGUAAAAAUGCAAUUGAUACUGGAGGCCUUGAGAACAGAUGAGGUAGGCGGAAUACGUGGAGUAGCGGUGAAAUGCUUAGAUAUCACGAAGAACUCCGAUAGCGAAGGCAGCUUACUAAACUGCCACUGACAUUGAUGCACGAAAGUGUGGGUAGCAAACAGGAUUAGAUACCCCUGUAGUC